rnacentral:rRNA from 1 species
UACAGAGACUGCAAGCGUUAUUCGGAUUCACUGGGCGUAAAGGGUGCGCAGGCGGCCAAGUGUGUGAGGCGUGAAAGCCUGGAGCUUAACUCCAGAAUUGCACCUCAAACUACUUGGCUAGAGCAUUGGAGAGGGUAGCAGAAUUCAUGGUGUAGCAGUGAAAUGCGUAGAUAUCAGGAGGAACACCGGUGGCGAAGGCGGAUCUCUGGGCCUGUUCUGACGCUGAGGCGCGAAAGCUAGGGGAGCGAACAGG